rnacentral:rRNA from 1 species
UACGUAGGGUGCAAGCGUUGUCCGGAAUUAUUGGGCGUAAAGAGCUCGUAGGCGGUCCGUCACGUCGGCUGUGAAAACCCGGGGCUCAACUCCGGGCCUGCAGUCGAUACGGGCGGACUAGAGUACUGCAGGGGAGACUGGAAUUCCUGGUGUAGCGGUGAAAUGCGCAGAUAUCAGGAGGAACACCGGUGGCGAAGGCGGUGUGCUGGGCCGUAGCUGACGCUGAGGCGCGACAGCGUGGGGAGCAAACAGG